UGGCUCAGGACGAACGCCGGCGGCGUGCUUAACACAUGCAAGUCGAACGAUGAAAGAGGGAGCUUGCUUUCUCUGGAUUAGUGGCGAACGGGUGAGUAACACGUGAGCAAUCUGCCCUUGACUCUGGGAUAAGCGUUGGAAACGACGUCUAAUACCGGAUACGAACUUCAGCCGCAUGGCUAGGGGUUGGAAAGAAUUUCGGUCAAGGAUGAGCUCGCGGCCUAUCAGCUUGUUGGUGAGGUAAUGGCUCACCAAGGCGACGACGGGUAGCCGGCCUGAGAGGGUGACCGGCCACACUGGGACUGAGACACGGCCCAGACUCCUACGGGAGGCAGCAGUGGGGAAUAUUGCACAAUGGGCGCAAGCCUGAUGCAGCAACGCCGCGUGAGGGACGACGGCCUUCGGGUUGUAAACCUCUUUUAGCAGGGAAGAAGCGCAAGUGACGGUACCUGCAGAAAAAGCACCGGCUAACUACGUGCCAGCAGCCGCGGUAAUACGUAGGGUGCAAGCGUUGUCCGGAAUUAUUGGGCGUAAAGAGCUCGUAGGCGGUUUGUCGCGUCUGCUGUGAAAUCCCGAGGCUCAACCUCGGGCCUGCAGUGGGUACGGGCAGACUAGAGUGCGGUAGGGGAGAUUGGAAUUCCUGGUGUAGCGGUGGAAUGCGCAGAUAUCAGGAGGAACACCGAUGGCGAAGGCAGAUCUCUGGGCCGUAACUGACGCUGAGGAGCGAAAGCGUGGGGAGCGAACAGGAUUAGAUACCCUGGUAGUCCACGCCGUAAACGUUGGGAACUAGAUGUGGGGACCAUUCCACGGUCUCCGUGUCGCAGCUAACGCAUUAAGUCCCCGCCUGGGA
rnacentral:rRNA from 1 species